rnacentral:rRNA from 1 species
CCUACGGGAGGCAGCAGUAGGGAAUCUUCGGCAAUGGGGGCAACCCUGACCGAGCAACGCCGCGUGAGUGAAGAAGGUUUUCGGAUCGUAAAGCUCUGUUGUAAGUCAAGAACGAGUGUGAGAGUGGAAAGUUCACACUGUGACGGUAGCUUACCAGAAAGGGACGGCUAACUACGUGCCAGCAGCCGCGGUAAUACGUAGGUCCCGAGCGUUGUCCGGAUUUAUUGGGCGUAAAGCGAGCGCAGGCGGUUUGAUAAGUCUGAAGUUAAAGGCUGUGGCUCAACCAUAGUUCGCUUUGGAAACUGUCAAACUUGAGUGCAGAAGGGGAGAGUGGAAUUCCAUGUGUAGCGGUGAAAUGCGUAGAUAUAUGGAGGAACACCAGUGGCGAAGGCGGCUCUCUGGUCUGUAACUGACGCUGAGGCUCGAAAGCGUGGGGAGCAAACAGGAUUAGAUACCCUUGUAGUC